AGAAGAAAUGAAUAUUGGAUGCAGAUAUGAGACAGUCCUUGUUCUUGAGGAGCUUACAUUUUAAUGGGGGAACCACACAUACAUGGGCAUGAUAGCCCUGUAGAGCGUUUGUGAAGCCUGUUGGUGUCAGCCUGACAGCCCCGUGGGGUCAGCCCGGACACAUCUCCUAUGAGGAAUCCGGGGGUCUGGAGGGCAGCCUGAGUCUCCCUGUUUGGCAAGAAGCUGUACUCUCUGCUCCCCUCCCGAGUGCAACCAGCCCUUCCCUGUGGGUGGCAGAGAAAGACUAAGCAACGAAGCAUCUUUGCCCUCAAGAUCUUUCUCAAGAAAGGACCGGGUAUCAGAAGGAGACACAAAAUGAGGAGACUGAACCUGACAGACAUUGAUUUUCCUAGUGUGACACAGCCAUUGAUGAAGACUGGUUGCAUUUGAUGGUCUCAGUUCCUUCGAUUCUGGGAAUGAAUGAAUAAAGUGAUGGACCCUUGGUGCUGACAGCCAUAGGUCAUUUUGCAUAUGAGGAAACUGAGGCAAACAGGG